UCUCUCUCUCUCUCUGUCUGUAAACGGUAGGCGUGGCUUGGGAGUGGACUCUGAGCAGCGGGGCAGGUGCAUUCUGGGAUUCGGUGGCUCU